AGUCAUAUGCUUGUCUCAAAGAUUAAGCCAUGCAUGUCUCAGUACAAGCCGAAUUAAGGUGAAACCGCGAAAGGCUCAUUAAAUCAGUUAUGGUUCCUUAGAUCGUACACACAUUUACUUGGAUAACUGUGGUAAUUCUAGAGCUAAUACAUGCAAACAGAGCUCCGACCGGAGACGGAAGGAGCGCUUUUAUUAGAUCAAAACCAAUCGGCGGCGGGCUUGCUCGUCGUCGUACACCUUGGUGAAUCUGAAUAACUUUCUGCUGAUCGCAUGGUCUAGCACCGGCGACGCAUCUUUCAAAUGUCUGCCUUAUCAACUGUCGAUGGUAGGUUCUGCGCCUACCAUGGUUGUAACGGGUAACGGGGAAUCAGGGUUCGAUUCCGGAGAGGGAGCCUGAGAAACGGCUACCACAUCCAAGGAAGGCAGCAGGCGCGCAAAUUACCCACUCCCGGCACGGGGAGGUAGUGACGAAAAAUAACGAUACGGGACUCAUCCGAGGCCCCGUAAUCGGAAUGAGUACACUCUAAACCCUUUAACGAGGAUCAAUUGGAGGGCAAGUCUGGUGCCAGCAGCCGCGGUAAUUCCAGCUCCAAUAGCGUAU
rnacentral:rRNA from 1 species